rnacentral:rRNA from 1 species
GACAGAGGUGCCAAGCGUUAGGCGGAAUCACUGGGCUUAAAGCGUGUGUAGGCGGAUCGUUAAGUGCCUUGUGAAAUCCCACGGCUUAACCGUGGAACUGCUCGGCAUACUGGCGGUCUUGAGCAACCUAGGGGCGAGCGGAACAAAUGGUGGAGCGGUGAAAUGCGUAGAUAUCAUUUGGAACGCCAAUGGUGAAAACAGCUCGCUGGGGGUUUACUGACGCUGAGACACGAAAGCCAGGGGAGCGAACGGG